CAGUAAACUCGUUUCAACUCUUACGUUUUAAUAAUAUAUUUUUGUGUGAUUUUGUUUGCAUAGUUAUAAUUAAUAUGGCAUUUUCUUUGAAAAAAUGUUUGGUAAAGGAAAAGGUAAAACCGGUGAAAGUAGUGGCCAUAAUACUACCCUUCCCCCGGCUCCCUGACCUAGAAAAGAUAAGCAAGUUGAAAGUAGCCGCCAACCUAGACGUUCUCCUCCUCCUCCC
rnacentral:lncRNA from 1 species